UACGUAGGGGGCGAGCGUUGUCCGAAGUUACUGGGCGUAAAGAGCGCGUAGGCGGGUCUUUAAGUGAGGGGUGAAAGGUUCGGGCUCAACCCGGACACUGCCUUUCAUACUGGGGACCUUGAGUGCGGGAGGGGCGAGUGGAAUGGUCGGUGUAGCGGUGAAAUGCGUAGAUAUCAGGAGGAACACCAGUGGCGAAGGCGGCUUUCUGGACGGUAACUGACGCUGAGACGCGAAAGCGUGGGGAGCAAACAGG
rnacentral:rRNA from 1 species